rnacentral:rRNA from 1 species
AUUGAACGAUGGCGGCAGGCCUAACACAUGCAAGUCGAGAGGAGCGGCGGACGGGUGAGUAAUGUCUGGGACACUGCCUGAUGGAGGGGGAUACAUACUGGAAACGGUAGCGAAUACCGCAUACCAUCAGAUGUGCGAAGAUGGGAUUAGCUAGUAGGUGGGGUACCGGCCUAACAAGGCGACGAGCCGUAACUGGUCGGAGAGGAUGAUCAGUCACGCUGGAACUGGGACACGGUCCAGACUCCUACGGGAGGCAGGAGUGGGGAAUAUUGGACAAUGGGCGAAAGCCUGAUCCAGCCAUGCCGCGUGUGUGAAGAAGGUCUUCGGAUUGUAAAGCACUUUAAGUUGGGAGGCGUUACCAACAGAAUAAGCACCGGCUAACUUCGUGCCAGCAGCCGCGGUAAUAC